rnacentral:lncRNA from 1 species
AUGAGCAAAUCCAAAUUUAUUUUAACGCCAUGUCAUUUUCAACAUGUUUAAAAACCUCAUAAGUUAGUGGGAGCCCUAGUUCCCUGGGACAGCAUGCCAGAGGUACUGAAUUUCAUCACCUUCCUCUCCAAACCCCUAGCAAUUCAUCCAAUCCAAGUCCACAGCUUCAGAAAGCCAGGAGUUGUCUCUUCAGUCAGUCUGCUCCUCUGGUUCCUGGUCUUUCUUUCAGGGAGGGAAGUCAAAAUAUUUCAAACAGGGAACAAAACCACAGUUGAGCUUCCAGCUCAGGUGUCUAAGAUGAAACAGGGGAAUGCCCCCCCAUCGACUCCAAAGAAAUGGACAAGGUGGAGAUGGAUUACUUCUUUACAGCUUUGUGAAGACAAAAAAAGUCCUGCAGAACAAAAACGACUAAAGAGAUUUACAAAUGAGGAUCCAUUUGACAGAUGAGAAUCUCUUGGUAAAUGCAGGCUCCAGCUCCUAAAAAUGAGAGGGGCCUGACCAGUCUGGAUCAGAAAGGAAUCUGCCACACGUGAAUAAAAACAAUCUGAAUAUAGCUCCUCUUUAUUUUGAGGCCUGAUAAAAUACCUGGGGAGAAUGGGAAAAGAGAGGAACAAGCCCCAACAGAUGGGAAAAUGCUGACACCAGAGUGGUAUAAAAAAAUUUCAGCUGAGUUUUUAGUGGUGGCGGCUACUUUAGCCUUCUCCCUGUUCUGUUGUAGGGUCAUAAACCUUGACCAAAGCAGAGAGUAGUAGAAAAAGGCUAGAAAGAGGGGCUUGAAGACGAUGAAUUUUGACUCCUGAUUUUAUUAUUCAAUUUCUCUUUUCUAUUUAAAGUAGUCUUCGGUGGCUGGGAAGCCUGGCCUCCCAAGACCAGAGUCAGUUGGAGCUGGUUGUUGUUGGACAGGGAGUGGGGUAGGGACAGGGAUGGGGGCAGGGAGAUCCUGCUCUGCUGGCGGUCCUGGGUGGAGAAGACGAACUGCGCUUCACAGAGCCUGGGGUGUGGUGGGAAAGGGAUGAGGCAGGAGCGGCAAGCUGGGGAGAUGGGACCCACCUCAGUCCCCAGCUUCAUUCUCUUCUAAUGUUUCCCCACUGGUGGCAUUUUCUGCAGUCUUGGAGGCCUAUAUUCGUGGAAAAGAGAGGAAGACUUAUCAGUUUCCAACUACCUGGGGUAGUAUCCAGGGUACCAAGGACAAAAAUAUCCUAAUGCUCUAGGUCAAGGCUGAGGAAGGGAAAGUAAGGAUAUACAGAUACAUAUAUGCCCACCACAACACCCAGGAAGGUGGACUCAAGAGGGAUCAAGUUCACCCUGCCAGAGACGGAUAAUCAUACCUUCUUUUUUUUCUUUUUCUGGGUUUUCCGACUUGCAGAACUCUGGAGGAGGGCCUGGAAAAUAGGAGGAGGAAGGAAAACAAAUUUUGAGGAAUGCUGAGGAAACACAAAAUGUCUCUCUCAGUACCCCGGCCCUUUGCAGGACUUUGCUGACACCUCCUCCUCACUCCCAGGACACGUGCAAUGUGUUCACCCCUUUCCGUCACACACUGACCUUUAGCUCUGCAUCCUGGACCUCCAUCUCAGACUUGUAAAGGUCAGGCUCAAAGGGACCACUAGUUAUCCGCAUGGGGCCAUUGGGCAUGAGCAGGACUGUAAAUUUAAACUGGGCAACAAAUUCACCUAUGGAAGAAAGGAAGUGUUUUGAUAAAAUGUCCCCUUGUCAUACUCCUUUUCUGUAAGCUAGAGCGGGGGACUGUAAUCAGGGGCUCCAAAGUGAAACUCUCUUCUUAGGACUCACCCUCCUUCUCAUAGAGAACAUUAAAUGGCUGCAGCAGUUCGUGUUUGGCACAUUCCACCACACCCAUGCGGGCCUUCUUCUCAUCUUCAAAUGCUCUGGGUGGUGGAAGACAAAUUCAGGCAUCCUUAACUCCCUAUCAAGUAACAUUUUCCUCAAGUUUUUAAAUGUGUGUGGUCUAGGGAGUCAGACUGGUUCCAAGUACUGUUCUUGCUAAGUGCAGUAGUAGUACCUUAAAGUAAAUGGCAUGGCAUCAAAACGCCUUUCGACCUCACUGAAGAAGGCACGUGAAGUUUUCAUUUUCAGCCCAUACUGUUUAGAAGGGUCUCGUUUGUAAAUGGUGGUUCUCUGUCCUGCAUCCUUGGCCUAAAAGAGUAAAAAGUUAGGUCACAUUUGGGCUGGUGCUCUUAGAACACACCCUCGGUCACUCUUCUGUGCUAGCUCUGGUAAACUCUCCUCACCUUGCCCUCUCCUGAGCUGACAAGAACAUCCACAGCAUAUACUUCGUGUACCUCAAAUUCAGCCUUUUCAUGGUCCUUCCUAAAAGGAAUAGAAAGGGAACCAUAAAAACAAUAAGUAGUUCCUGGAGUCUGAAGUAAAAGAAGACAGACAAGAAUAAGCUGGGAGCAUGAAGAAAAUGUUCGUGACUAGACUCAGAGGGUGGAAAGCGAAGGGUGGAACUGGCACCUACUUCUGCUGGUCUGUGGGAUUCUGGAUAAUGGUUUUCUCUCCAUCGAUGACAUGCUGCUUCAACUGAUGUGACAGCAUACCUGAGGACAGGACAAAGCCAUCUAGAACCCAAAAGGUUCCCAAAUCCACCCACCUAUGUAGGUUGAUGAGGCAGGCAGUGAGGGAAAAGUGCCUAUGAAAACUCAGGGGAGAAAAGGUUUUGGCUUACACUGUGCUAGAGUCAGAAUGGAUCUUCAAAGGAGCAAAAUCCUUAAUUCUACUAAACCACUCAGACCCUCAACCCUGUUAUCUGAGGUCUCACCUUCUAUUGGUGUGCAAUUAAAUGAGUGGGCAACUUUGUUCCAGGCUUCUGUCACUUGUGUGUUCUAGAAGUACAAGAUCAAAUAACAGGUGAGAUAUAUAAAGGGGCCAAUAAGCUCUCCACCAUGAGAAUGAAAAAUAUAAAAAACUGAUAGUCCCAAUACCCUCCAUCAAGAGCAACGACUCUCAUUGGUUUUUCAUUUCAAGUUAUUAUCCCUACAGCUUAAAAACACCUUAUGUUUGCAUAUCAUUUUACAAAGUGCUUUCACAAAGAUGGUCUAAUUAGACAAUUCUGAAAGGUGAAUACAGCAGAUCUAUACCCCAUAUCCCGAUUUAAAACAUGAAGAAACUGAGGCACAGAAAGGUUAAGAUUUUCCCAGGCUUAAGCCAGUUAACUUGAAGAAACUGAGAUAAACCCAGGUUUUCUAGUGAUGAAUCCAGUGUUUAUUCCACAAUAUUUGUUGAGAGGGAACAGCAAACUCUGAUUUUCCCCUUCUUACCUUUCAAACAUGAUCUCACCCCCACCUAAGCUACAGUUCUUUUUUUCUUUUAAUUUUUUUUUUUUUAAUCUUUAUUUUUGAGAGAGAGACAGAGUGUGAGCAGGGGAGGAGCAGAGACAGAGAGAGACGCAGAAUCCGAAACAGGCUCCAGGCCCCAAGCUGCCAGCACAGAGCCCAACGCGGGGCUCGAACCCACGAACCAUGAGAUCAUGACCUGAGCCAAAGUCAGACCCUCAACCGACUGAGCCACCCAGGUGCCCCUAAGCUACAGUUCUUAAACAAAAUGAAAAAUAAGUAAUCAUAACUAAUAUUAUUAAGCCAUAUGCUAGGUACUGUACAUGGAUCAUUUCAAUUGUUACAACAACCCUAUGAUAAUAACUGACAAUUUCAUUUUUCCUAUUUUGCGGAUUAGGAAAUUUGAACUCAAAAAGUUAUUUUUAAACAGUAAGCAUUGGCGAUAGGGCAAGAAUCCAGAAAUUCCUGAUGUAUGCCAUAACUAUAUAAUAGCCAGUAUACACCACCACCUUCCAGUGAAGAUAACACAAUUCUAAGUAUAUAAAUAAUCAACACGCAAAGUAAUAAGAGCCAACACAAGUGCUUACUAUGUGCCAGGUACUGUUCAAAAUGCUUCAUAACAACUGUAUGAAGUAGGUAUCGUUAUAAGCAAACCAAGACAGAGGUUUAAGUAAAAAUGACGCAAAAGAGUAACAAUGGUGAAGUACAAACUAAUUAAAAGAAGAAUAAGAGAGAACAGAAAUGAAAAAAAGCAAAAGCAAAAGCAAAAAAAAAAAAAGAGGGCAAGCUUUAAGUAUUGAACAGGGUCCUGGAGACUGAAGUGUGAGAAAAAAUGUCUCCAUGCAUAGCCUAAGAUGUUAAAUUAUAGUAAUUCACGAUAGUUUAUGAUCCCUGGGCUUUCUAAUAUUGUCUUGCAAAAGCACAAAACUAACUUUUGGCCUCUCUCUGCCACCAGUUUACUGGUACUACUGUGAUUUCUGUUAUAAGCUUUUAAAAUUGGGUUUUUGGGGGCACUUGCCUGGCUCAAUUGGAAGGGCAAGUGACUUUUGGUCUUGGGGUUGUGAGUUUGAGCCCUACGUUUGGUGUAGGAAUUAAUUACACAAAGAAUUAAAAAAAAAACCAGUUCUUAAAAAAAGUUGGUUUUUUUUACAUUUGUGUUUUACUCUAAGUGAUAUCCCUCAAAUUAUUUUAGGAAAAGAUGUACAUCCAAAACACGAAUAAGAGAGGACCUCUAUAGGCUCCAUGAGGAAAGGACCAUAUAUCCCCAAACACCUGCAUGUGAACUUAUCUAUGAUAGUCUCUCAGAGUUAGUUGUAAUCUCAUAGCUUAUGAGUUCAAGCCCCACAGGGGGCUCACUGCUGUCUGUGCAGAGUCUGCUUUGGCGCUUGUGCAGAUCCUUUGUCCCCCUCUUUGUCUCCCCCUCCUCCAUCCGAACAUGCACUCUCUCACUAAAUAAAUAAACAUUUAUAUAAACAAGUUUAUUUAUUUCUGAGGGCGGGGGAGGGGAGAGAGAGACAGAGGAUCUGAAGCAGGUCCUGCACUGUCAGCAUAGAGCCCAAAGCAGGGCUUGAACUGAUGAACUGUGAAAAUCUGACUGAGCUAAAGUCAGACACUUAACGAACUGAGCCACCCAGGUGCCCCAAUACAACGAAUUUUAAAGAGCUGUAUGUUUUAGGGGCACCUGGCUGCCUCACUUAGUAGAGCAUGCAACUCUUGACCUCACGGGCUUUUUUUUGAGCCCACUUUGGGGCUUUAAAAAGAAAGGGAUGGGGGUGCCCGGGGUGGCUCAGUGACAUCUCACUCUUUGUUUCAGCUCAGGUCAUGAUCUCAUGGUUCAUGAGUUUGAGCCCCAUGGUGGCCUCCUUGCUCACAGUGCAGAGUUUGCUUGGAGUUCUCUCUCCCUCUUUCUCUGCCCCUACGAGACUGGUGCUCACUCUCUCUCAAAAUAAAUAAACUUAAAAGAAAAAAAGCUAUUUUAUAAGGGGGCUGUAGGAGAAGGGGACAGUUCAAUACAGAAUAGCUAUAAAUGGCUAAUGCUUCUUACAUUCUAUCAGGGUUUAGAACUGGACUAAACAGCUUACCUGGUUUCCAGGUUUGACCAGGCGCAGGGCAGCUUCAGCACAAAGGUGAGCUGCCUUAAUGACAUCUGCUUUCCGCCCUGUUACUUGGGUCCCCUGUAGAUAAGGAAAUGUAAUCAGUACUCCCUGGAAAAUCAUUCUAACUGAGCUGGUCACUAUGUAAGGCCAGUCAACACUUUCCUCUUUUUAUUUCUCUAGGGACUCUCUCAAACUGUAUAUGGUGGUUAGGGGUGGGAAUAAGCAGCAGCAUACCCUCCCCACAAGUGGAACAAAAUUCAAAGCAGACCACCUACCUGAGCUACAUCAACCACAAAAGUGUGAGCCACAUUAGCGAUGAAGCCAUCCACAUGGACCCCAAGGUCACUGAAAGACAAGAGGAGAGCACAGCAUUAGCAACUAGCACUAUGCAAAUGCUUAGGAAAAAGACAAGUGCUCUAAAAUGGCUUAAGCUUACAUUUUUACCAAGUCACCUUCCUUGAGAAUAUAGUCCUGGUCGCUCUUCAAAGGGGAGAAGUGACAUACACAGUUAUUUACUGAAAUGCUGGUGGGAAAGGCAAUACCUGUAAAGAGACAAUCAUCAGCCUUACUACCCUGCUGUCUCUCUCUCUCAAUGUCUCUUUCGGAGCCCUGCUGCCCCUCGGAAAAAUGGAAGGAUUUUCUUCAGGGUCUUGCCUGUUUAAUCAGUUUGGAUUGGGUAGGAAACUGCUUGUAUCCCACCUGCCAUUUCAAAUUUCCAAAUAUCUCAACCAGAGCUUGGGUGGGGGUUACAUCAUUACAAUAAAACAAACAGGACUGAGUAAGGGUCAAACUUGGGAAAUUAGUGGGGGGAUUGAUUUUUUACCUUUCUUCAUUUCUUUUUCUUUCUUGAAAAUUUUCCCUGUCUCUUCCAUAAUCAUGGCAUCACCUUUCUCACACAGGCUCAGUACGGACACACCUGAGCAGGAUGCUUCCACCAAAGACCGAAGUACCCCUGGGGACAGAAUCCCACCAUGUCAGCCCUGUAUGUGUUGUCUAAGUCACCAUCCAAACAAUACCUAGAAGUUAGCGUUUGUAAUAUUCCUUAGUGCCAUUGCCCAAGGCUGAAAGAGGGAACAAGUUUGUCUCUUGGAAUAUACCUACUUAUAAUCACUAAAUUUCUACCUUCCUUUUCCUAAAAUAAAAAAGCCACACACCCUUCUCUCCCUAUAGAAUGUGACAACUGGGUAAACACCAUCUGUCUCCCUAGUGAAGGGAGACUUUCCAAAGAUACCAGUGGCGUGGUAGGACAGUUACGAACUUCAAGGGGGUUCUCACCUCAGCAAGGUGACCAACAUACAUGCAAAGCAGACUGGAAGAAAUUUAUAGGCGUCAGGAACAACAGGAAGAUAGACACAGAAUUGCUGACUCGAAGCUGAUGCAUUGUUAAAUGCAACCUUCUUCCCUUCUCAGACACCCCAAUUAGAUGUUAGUAAUCUCAAUCUGUGUAAAAGUAUUUCCUCAUCAACCGGUGUAUAAACCAAAGGCACUUAAUCUAAAGUUCCUGAGCUUCAAAGGCUCAUGUCUUACAGCUUGUAGCACAUCUCAAAGAGGUGUAAGACCUGAGUUUCAAACUAGUAUCUGGGAUCACAAGUGCCUCAGAAGUUAUAAGUUGCAAGGGAAAAAAUUUUUUUGAUUCAAACCACUAAUACUAAAAAGCACUCCAAAUAAGGCACUAUAUUAAAUGUUCAUUAUGUUAUAAAGCAUUGUUCUGUUCACUGGAUGCCCUCACCAUGGCCUAUCCUCAACUUCAGAUUUGAUUUUUGUGAUCCAAGUCUUUGGAAGCAUGAAAAACUCAGGUUUUCAGCCAUAGGACCAAAGGGAUCCUAAAUACCUAUCUUUACUGUCAAAACCAUUUAAAAGCCCAAACACAAGCAUUUUCUGUUCCCCUAAUUGGGUUUUAAAGUGAAAAGGUAAAUUGCAAAGAGAGAAAAAGGAAAGUGUGACAUCUGCCAAGCUUGGCAGGCAGCUGCUGAGAAAGUCCCAGCACAGUGGUAAUAAGGAUGACUUCUGAGAUCCUAAAAUCAGCCCCCCACCCUCUUUUCAGUACCAUUCACAAGACUGCCUAGUUGGGGUGAGAACCUCAAAAACACUCCUAGCGUUAUCAAGUCCCUGAGAUCAAAUCUGACGGCUAAGGCUAUCUGCACAGAUUGUUGGUAGCAAUAACUUCAAGAAAAGCCAGAUAUUAUCUCCAAGAGUUGUGUUAGGAGCUCCAACGAUCCCUGAGCUGGCCCAAGAGGAGAAGGGGGCCCCACCAGCGAAGGAGUUGAAGUAAAAAACGAAAGACUCCAGCAAAGCACGUGGUAGGGAAGCUGGUGUCAGGGACUGUAGCAGAGGAAGGGAGCCGGCGAUCCGCAUGGGAACCCGGCAACACGUGCCGGCUGGGCUCUUGAUGCCGGGGAGCCAAAACAAAAUAGAGGGGCGCUUCCGUCGCCAACAGCUGGGCGCUUCCUUUUCGAGGUGGCCUCGCCGCUGGCAGAAUAAGAGGCAGGGAUCCCGACCGAAGGGUGAGGGGCAGAAGAUGCGCCUUGCCUCUUGACCAACGGCCUAAGGUCGGAGCCGGCUGGGGGCCCUGCUCUGCGCUCUUCCCGGUCAGGGCCCCACACCUCCCCAGACUCCAGCCCAGGCCCAGCGGCUCAGGUCCCAGGCGCGACACGGAGUCUUCCCACCACGCCACCCACGGUGGACCGGCGCGGGGCCCUCAGCUGCUCACUCCGCAUGACCCCACCGCUCCAGCCCCUCCGGGGCCAGCCCAGCACCGUCCCCUUUGCCUCCCCCUCUCAGCCUCGAUCUCCGGACCCCCAAGGCCCGCACUCACGGUUGGCGAUGUCGCCCCCCCUCUUAUACUUGGUCACAACCAGGUCCUCGGCGAUAGUUUGCUCCUGCUGCUCGUCCUCGCCCGACAUCUUCCCACUACCACCACCACCACUGCAGCCUCGUUCCUCCUGAGCCGCCGCCUCUGUCUUCCUUCCCAGCCGCAGGCUGUGCCUACAGCCCCUUCGAUCCGCGAGGAAAGCGCGAGCGAAAGCGCGA